UGUGCAACUCUACCUCCAUCUUAGCUGAGA
rnacentral:piRNA from 1 species